rnacentral:rRNA from 1 species
GACGAACGCUGGCGGCGUGCUUAACACAUGCAAGUCGAACGGAAAGGCCCUGCUUUUGUGGGGUGCUCGAGUGGCGAACGGGUGAGUAACACGUGAGUAACCUGCCCUUGACUUUGGGAUAACUUCAGGAAACUGGAGCUAAUACCGGAUAGGAGCUCCUGCUGCAUGGUGGGGGUUGGAAAGUUUCGGCGGCUGGGGAUGGACUCGCGGCUUAUCAGCUUGUUGGUGGGGUAGUGGCUUACCAAGGCUUUGACGGGUAGCCGGCCUGAGAGGGUGACCGGCCACAUUGGGACUGAGAUACGGCCCAGACUCCUACGGGAGGCAGCAGUGGGGAAUAUUGCACAAUGGGCGGAAGCCUGAUGCAGCAACGCCGCGUGCGGGAUGACGGCCUUCGGGUUGUAAACCGCUUUCGCCUGUGACGAAGCGUGAGUGACGGUAAUGGGUAAAGAAGCACCGGCUAACUACGUG